rnacentral:ncRNA from 1 species
AAAUAGUUUGAUUUUUGCUACAACUUCUUGACUAAAAUAAAAUAUAAUACAUGCAACCUUCUGGGAACCCGUGCAACUAAAUUUAAUUCUUAAUGUUUAUUUACAUAACUGUAUAAGUUAAACUAAAACCCUGAUUCACGCCUGCAGUAAAGUAUUUUGCCCAAAGUUAAACUUACGUAACAGAUAUUAUUAUAAGUGCUGACCCAAUUCGUGCCAGCCGUCGCGGUUAAACGAUAAGCACAAGUCAAGAAACAUCGGAUGAUAGUAAUGAUAAAAAACUCAUGUGAAAGUGGUACAAUACAUAGAUCAUGAUUAAUUUAGUUUAUAUCAAAUUGUAAAACGAAAGAAUUGUCCAAAACAAGGAUUAGAUACCCUUUUAUUCAAUUCCGUAAACAAAAUCCCGGGCACUACGAACACAUGUUUAAAACCCAAAAAAAUUGGCGGCACUUUACGCUAUUAGGGGAAUCUGUCAAUUAAUUCGCCAAUCCACGUUAAACCCUUCUUAUUCUUGACAACCAGCCUGUAUACCGCCGUCGCAAGCUAACACCAAUUCAAGGUCGUUAGCAAUAAAGUCACCCGCUACCACGUCAGGUCAAUGUGCAGCUAAUGAAUAAGUUUAGAUGGAUUACAAUAAAUAUAUAAUAGGAUGACACUUUAAAUAAUAUGUCUUAAUAUGGACUUAAUAGUAAAACAUUUAUAAUAUAACUGAUUGAACCCGCAAUCUAAAGUGUGCACACAUCGCCCGUCACUCUCACCGAAAGGCGAGAUAAGUCGUAACAUAGUAGGCGUAACUGAAGUUGUGCCUU